rnacentral:rRNA from 1 species
GAUGAACGCUGGCGGCGUGCCUAAUACAUGCAAGUCGAGCGAACGGACGAGAAGCUUGCUUCUCUGAUGUUAGCGGCGGACGGGUGAGUAACACGUGGAUAACCUACCUAUAAGACUGGGAUAACUUCGGGAAACCGGAGCUAAUACCGGAUAAUAUUUUGAACCGCAUGGUUCAAAAGUGAAAGACGGUCUUGCUGUCACUUAUAGAUGGAUACGCGCUGCAUUAGCUAGUUGGUAAGGUAACGGCUUACUAAGGCAACGAUGCAUAGCCGACCUGAGUGGGGGAUAGGCCACACGGGAGCGUGGACACGGUCCAGACGACUACGGGAGGCAGCAGUAGGGAACCUGCCGCAAUGGGCGAAAGCCUGACGGAGUAACGCCGCGUGAGUGAUGAAGGUCUUGGGUUCGUAAAACUCUGUUAUGAGUGAAGAACAUAUGUGUAAGUAACUGUGCAGAGCGUGACGGUACCUAAUCAGAAAGCCACGGCUAACUACGUG